CCUACCCCCAGGAAAAAAUGAACAUGAUUACCAACAUAAAAAUAAACUAUCACACUCGAUCCAUCAAAUUGUUUUUGUUACGAUCUAGCUUUGUCUCAUACUUUCAACAAUAGCACGAGAUCAAGCCAAGAGAGGAGUCAUGUGUCUAAAAUGGGAGAUCUGUUUAUUCAUUUUUAGUUUUCAAUAAAUCUCUUCACAUGUUAAUCUAAUUAAUUUUUCUAUCAUAUACUUGAUACACAUAUUAUAACUUUUGCACAUACC
rnacentral:lncRNA from 1 species